UAAGUAGUUUUUUAGGAUAUGUUUUUUUAAAUUUCCUUUUUAAUGCAUUUAUAUUUUAUAUUACGUAAUAAGAGUGUUAUUUUUAAAGAUUAGUGUAAAUGUACGUGAAUUUGCAUAUGUAUACAUUUAUAUAUAUAUAUAUAUAUAUAUAUAUACAUUUAUAUAUAUAUAUAUAUAUAUAUAGAUGAUAGAUAACUGUGAAGUAAGCGCACAUAAGCGUAUAUAAUUAUAUAAAAUGAUUAGUAAUAUAACUUUAUGUUAGCUCUAUUUUAAAAUAUUAUGUGUGAUAUAUAAUAAGAUAUAUUAUCUUACUUAUAUUUGUGUGUAUGUGUGUUUUUUAUUCUUUUUUGUAUAUUUUGUCUUGUUAGUUUUAAAAAUGAAGAUAACUACCAUAUUUUUUUUUUUUUUGUUAAUUAUUAAUUACAAUAAUGUAAAGUUUGUUGUGUAUUGUGCGGGGGGAGCAAAUUAUGGUGACGUGGUCAUAUCAACUGCUAUAACUACCAUGAUCAAGGAACCUUUAACUUUGGUUUCUAAGGAUCUAUACGAUCAUGCUGUUAAAUCUCCAAUAGAGGGGUUAAUUAGUAGAAUUAAAAAAGUUGUACGUUAUAGAAAAGUUUUAAGAUGGUCUCGUAUUUGGUGGGUCUUAUUAGUACGAGAAAUAGUAGGAGAUGGUGAAAUAGAAGAAAAAACUGAGGAGUUAUUAAGGGAUAUAUGGGACCAGUGUACAAUAUCAGUAUAUAACAACACCCUAUACACAGUCGAAUCCAAACCUGCUUUAUUUUUACAUGGUAUUUUAAGUGAGUGUAAAGAAAAUUAUUCAACAAAAUUAAAACAUGACCCAGGUUUAAUUGUAGCUAAAAUUGAUCAAAUAAUAAAAUCGCAAAUAUAUAGGUUUUGGAUUUCUGCUCCUUAUAUGAAAAUAGGAAAAUCAGGAAUUUUUUAUACACGUGUUAAUCAAAAGAUAGUACCUAAGUUACCUGAUAGAUGUACAUUAAAGCAUUUAACAUCGUAUAUGGAAGACAAACUAAAAUCUAUUGAUAACAAAAAAAAUAUGGAUUCAAGUAAAUUCUCAUUUUCUGUAAGUUCAGAUACUAAUUCUUGAACAAGUUUUUUUAACUAGAUAGUAUAUUAAUAGUUUAUCAGAUGUUUUAUGUAGCAAAUUAUAAGUUUUGAAAGUAAACAAAUUAUAAUUUCGUUGUUGAUAAAUGAGAAGAAAAAUAAAAUAAAAUAAAAUAAAAUAAAUUAGCUAACA
rnacentral:lncRNA from 1 species